ACACUUCUUAGAGCCAUCACAAUAGGUCAGUGGGUUAAGGGCACUUUCUGUCAAGCCUGAAUCCUAUCCCUCUAACCUACAUGAAGGAAGGCAAGAACCCGGACUCCUACAACUUGACCUCUGACCUCCACCCUGUGUCAUGGUACACAUGUACCUUGAGAGCCUCGUGAAAUGGAGCCGGGCUCUAUCACCCCAACUAAGAGAUGCUUUUUGUAGCUGCCCCAAGUGUCCAGAGGUACUGCAGUCAGCUCUUCUAUCCAGUGAGGGGAGUCUGAUAGAGACGCUCAACUGCUUGGCUUUGACCUGAGGUUCAUCCCAGCAGGGCCAGCUGUGACAUGAAACACUGAGGCUGCGGGGUCAACCAGACCGUUCAGGGGGAACAGAGGAGCCGGAGGAUUGCCUGACUGAAGGUGGCCCACCUUGCCGCUCUGCUCAACGGAGGUUCACCACCUGACUUCCCUGAAGCUUGUCUCUGCUACACUGCUCACCUCCUUGAUC